AUUGAACGCUGGCGGCAUGCCUUACACAUGCAAGUCGAACGGCAGCACGGGGCAACCUGGUGGCGAGUGGCGAACGGGUGAGUAAUGCAUCGGAACGUACCUUUCAGUGGGGGAUAACGUAGCGAAAGUUACGCUAAUACCGCAUAUUCUGUGAGCAGGAAAGCAGGGGAUCGCAAGACCUUGCUCUGAUUGAGCGCCGGAUGUCAGAUUAGCUAGUUGGUGCGGUAAAGGCCACCCAAGGCGACGAUCUGUAGCGGGUCUGAGAGGAUGAUCCGCCACACUGGAACUGAGACACGGUCCAGACUCCUACGGGAGGAAGCAGUGGGGAAUUUUGGACAAUGGGGGCAACCCUGAUCCAGCCAUGCCGCGUGAGUGAAGAAGGCCUUCGGGUUGUAAAUCUCUUUCGGCCGGGAAGAAAUCGCACGGGCUAAUACCCUGUGUGGAUGACGGUACCGGAAUAAGAAGCACCGGCUAACUACGUGCCAGCCGCCGCGGUAAGAC
rnacentral:rRNA from 1 species